UUUACGGCAGACGAGAGCCUAUAUUACGGUUUCAUUAACGUCCAUGAAAUGUCCAUGAAGUGCCCAUGCGCUCGACACGUGAACUGACAUCGGUUGUCAUGAAAGAUUUUGAAGGAAAAAUAUGAAAAGCUUGGUUUCUAAAUCGGUUUGUAAACUUUGUGGGAACUGUGAUUCUGUGACAAUGAUGAAUUAAAUGAGUAAGCAUGUAAACUGG